AUUGAACGCUGGCGGCAUGCUUUACACAUGCAAGUCGAACGGUAACAGGCCGCAAGGUGCUGACGAGUGGCGAACGGGUGAGUAAUGCAUCGGAACGUGCCCAGUCGUGGGGGAUAACGCAGCGAAAGCUGCGCUAAUACCUCAUACGAUCUAUGGACGAAAGCGGGGGACCGCAAGGCCUCGGCCCAUUGGAGGGGCCGAUGUCAGAUUAGGUAGUUGGUGGGGUAAAGGCUCACCAAGCCAACGAUCUGUAGCUGGUCUGAGAGGACGACCAGCCACACUGGGACUGAGACACGGCCCAGACUCCUACGGGAGGCAGCAGUGGGGAAUUUUGGACAAUGGGCGCAAGCCUGAUCCAGCAGUGCCGCGUGCAGGAAGAAGGCCUUCGGGUUGUAAACUGCUUUUGUACGGAACGAAACGGCUCUGGUUAAUACCUGGGGCUAAUGACGGUACCGUAAGAAUAAGCACCGGCUAACUACGUGCCAGCCGCCGCGGUAAAAC
rnacentral:rRNA from 1 species